rnacentral:lncRNA from 1 species
CCAAACCCUAAGGUCUUGAAAUCCAAUUCUCCCAAAUCUUUUCCUGACACGAAGUCUAUUAGGUCGUGAAAUCCAUUCAAUUCUUCUCUUACGGGAAUUCUCUAAAUUAGAGCUAUGAUUGUCAACUUCUACGUCAUCAAAAUUUUGAUCAUAUAGAGCUCCGUGGACAACGUCGCACAAACGAUAAGAUUGAAGGCUUGUGUAAUGGAAUCCAUCCCCCAUUGUCAUUCGCUUUGUGCAAAAUGAUAUCUACAUCCACAUUCGCUCACAGAUGAUAAGAUUGAAGGUUCAGUCAUAUUGGUUUAUUUGAUCAAUUAUAAAAUGGAGUCUUAGAAGAAGAUAAUGGGUUAUGGAUAAACAAUCAGACGGUUGAUUAUUGGGAAAAUUUGGUUUAUGCACCUAGUUUGGGUGGGGAUGCUGCUAUGUUGUUGGUAAAGGGAUUGAAUUUGAGGAUGGGUAUGUAGUUUCUUGGUGGUUCGUUUAUGAUAAUAAUAGUGAUGAUGGGAUUGAAGAGGUUAUUGAUCUAGAGGACUACAAUGUCACUAGGCAUGUAUGGCCAUGGAUAAAGACAUAAGAAGCAAGCUUUUCACAUCGUGUUUUGAGAGCAAAGAAUGAAUGCAAUUGGGUUUCAUUCAUGGAUGUCGACGAAUUCUUUUUCUUUCCAAAUUCAACAUCGAGACACAAAAGAUUCAUGAAACUGGGUUACGAGC